GGCCCCAUAGCUCAGUUGGUUAGAGCACGCGACUCAUAAUCGCUUGGUCGCUGGUUCAAGGAAUCAUAUAAUUAAGCCACCUUUAACCG
rnacentral:tRNA from 1 species